rnacentral:lncRNA from 1 species
UUGAUAUAGUAUAUAGAUCAACGAUUAUAUAAAUAUAAGUAGUGAUUUAUGUUUGUUUAUGACUGAAUUUAAAACCAUAAAAUAUUUUUGGUGAUGAUUUCAUGGACGUUUAUGGGGUUGGAAAAAAUGAAAAUCAUGCUGGAAAUUUCAGAAAAAUAAUAACUUUUUGGUAAUGCCUUCGUGCAUGGUUUUUAUCGUAACUUUCAACUCGUAAAUCAUUUUGGGACGAGGUUUGAAGCAUUAGGUAGAUAAAAUAGAGGGAUAUAACUUUGUUUCAAGGGUAAAAUAUUUUUG